rnacentral:rRNA from 1 species
AACGAACGCUGGCGGCAUGCCUAACACAUGCAAGUCGAACGAGACCUUCGGGUCUAGUGGCGCACGGGUGCGUAACGCGUGGGAACCUGCCCUUAGGUUCGGAAUAACUCCCCGAAAGGGGUGCUAAUACCGGAUAAUGUCUUCGGACCAAAGAUUUAUCGCCUUUGGAUGGGCCCGCGUUGGAUUAGGUAGUUGGUAGGGUAAAAGCCUACCAAGGCGACGAUGCAUAGCUGGUCUGAGAGGAUGAUCAGCCACACUGGGACUGAGACACGGCCCAGACUCCUACGGGAGGCAGCAGUGGGGAAUAUUGGACAAUGGGCGAAAGCCUGAUCCAGCAAUGCCGCGUGAGUGAUGAAGGCCUUAGGGUUGUAAAGCUCUUUUACCCGGGAUGAUAAUGACAGUACCGGGAGAAUAAGCUCCGGCUAACUCCGUG